AAAUUGCCCUGAGGAUUCUGGGAUGCAAAGGAGGAGGGGUCUAUGAAAUAUCUUACCUGAACGAACAAACAUGGAGGAGAGAGUGAAAGACACUUCUCAUCCCUUCUCCAUCAGUUUGCCAGCUGCUCUGCCUAAUGGCCAGCCUGCUGAGGCGCACAGUGGAGACUGUGUGCAUAAGUGAAGAGUCAGGAAAGGAUCCUCCAGGAGCUGUGGUUCCUCCUACAACAGCUGGACCCACAUCCUCAAGCACACUACAGAUGCUCAGGGUUGGCUCCUCAAGUUGCAUUUCCCCCUACGGGGUCACACAUCAGUUAGCCAUCUAUCAGGAAAUGUCAAGUUAGCCUUGUUCCUUUAAAGCCUCUUACCUGUGCCUGAGGCCAAGAAGACUAACUCCAGGAAUGGGGCAGUGGGAGAAAUGGUUCAGCAAUCAAGAGUGCUUGCUGCACUUCAGACUGCCUGAAUCCCAUCCCGGCACCCAUGUCAGAUGGCUCUCAAUUGCCUGAAACCUCAGCUGCAUGGGGGUCCUAUGCUCUUUUAUGGCCGCCUUUGGGCACCCAAACACAUAUGCCAGAAACGUGGACACAUACAGGCAGAUUUCCAACAAGAGUUGAUCCUGCCUGGAGCCAAAUAAGCCCACCCACCCCUCAGCUGUGCUGGAAAUGGGAAGCCAUCUAUCUGCUAGAACACACUUGCAGAAGGCAGCGAGGCAUCUAGUGCUCCAGGGCUUUGGACUGUCCACAAGGAACCAAACAAGCCAACCCAUGUUGGACCUGGGCAAAUAGAAUUCAGCUUCUCAGUUGAGCCUCCAGAAUCAACAUCAGUCCGGGAAGCGCCUGGAAUCUGGCCUACUAACGCCUCCAAGCCGUAGACCUUGAACAGGAUCUGUUCUGUUCUUGCCUGUAUUCAUGGGGGUUACUGAGGGUAGCUACAAGGAAUAUAAAUGUUUUGUGGCAGUGUUCUAUUACUAUUCUAUUAUGCAAACAC